GGGGAUGUAAUGGUUUCGACAUUAUACCAGAAGCAUGAAUAGCGAGUAGUGGAUUCUCGUUGGCCACUUAAAAAAACGGGAAAUUUAAAUAUAAACGCUGAUAAUAGAGAAUUAGCAUUUGCUGCCUAGUUGCGGCAACGCCUGUUAAAGUAUCCCCACAUAUUUUAAUUUGGUGUCAUUUUAGUGGGAAACAAAGCUGUUUUUUCUAUAGGAACAGUGGGUACUUAUAUAGAUAUAUUUAACCGUCGUUUGUUUGUUAAUGAUCGUUAAAUGAAUUUUAAUAACAAACUGCACUCGGAGAAGUUUGUGUGGAAAGUAUUAUGGACAGGAGUUCGACUCUCCUCAUCUCCACCA
rnacentral:tmRNA from 1 species